AGAGUUUGAUCAUGGCUCAGGAUGAACGCUAGCGGCAGGCCUAAUACAUGCAAGUCGGACGGGAUUGGAGAGCUUGCUUUCCAUGAGAGUGGCGCACGGGUGCGUAACACGUAUGUAACCUACCCUUGUCAGGGGGAUAGCCUCUCGAAAGAGAGAUUAAGACCGCAUAACAUUGAGAUGUAGCAUUACAAUUCAAUCAAAUAUUUAUAGGACAAGGAUGGGCAUGCGGAACAUUAGCUAGUUGGUGAGGUAACUGCUCACCAAGGCUACGAUGUUUAGGGGAUCUGAGAGGAUGACCCCCCACACUGGUACUGAGACACGGACCAGACUCCUACGGGAGGCAGCAGUAAGGAAUAUUGGUCAAUGGGCGGAAGCCUGAACCAGCCAUGCCGCGUGCAGGAAGACGGCCCUACGGGUUGUAAACUGCUUUUGCAGGGGAAUAAACCCCCGUAUGUAUACGGGGCUGAAUGUACUCUGAGAAUAAGGAUCGGCUAACUCCGUGCCAGCAGCCGCGGUAAUACGGAGGAUCCAAGCGUUAUCCGGAUUUAUUGGGUUUAAAGGGUGCGUAGGUGGCCUGUUAAGUCAGGGGUGAAAGACGGUAGCUUAACUAUCGCAGUGCCCUUGAUACUGAUGGGCUUGAAUGAACUAGAGGUAGGCGGAAUGUGACAAGUAGCGGUGAAAUGCAUAGAUAUGUCACAGAACACCAAUUGCGAAAGCAGCUUACUAUGGUUUAUUGACACUGAGCACGAAAGCGUGGGGAUCAAACAGGAUUAGAUACCCUGGUAGUCACGCCCUAAACGAUGAUACUCGAUGUUGGCGAUAUACGGUCAGCGUCUAAGCGAAAGCGUUAAGUAUUCCACCUGGGGAGUACGCCCGCAAGGUGAAACUCAAAGGAAUUGACGGGGCCCGCACAAGCGAGGAGCAUGUGGUUUAAUUCGAUGAUACGCGAGGAACCUUACCC
rnacentral:rRNA from 1 species